GUUGCUGAUUACUUUUUUGUUUAGAAAUAUAGAAGUUGUAUUAAUAACUCAGCAGCUGUGGUCACUUACAAAAAAAAAAACCUAAAAAAUAAAAUAAAUAAAUAAAUAACCCAGGAAAGAUAAUGGGUUUUUGGAACUAUACUGGGUAAUGUUUUUUUCACCUUCUGUCUGAAUGUCAUCUUUCUAUAAAAGAUGAAAACGUCAGUGUGACAUGUUAGGAGUAUAUUACAAAGUUAAAUGUGUGUGAUUAAAAGACAACCCUGACAAAUUGUUUAUGUAAUUGUUUUUUGUAGAUGUCUGGAUGUUUAUUUGGCUAACAACAACAACAACCAAACUUCAGAUGACCACACAUCAUUUCAUGGUCCAUUCCUGUGUUGUUGGUAACGCAGAUCGGUCAGAAACUGUCGCAGACACAGAGGAAUGUGGAGGAAUCAUCUUUCAACAAUAAUGUAUUUACCUGUGCAAAUAAAUAACAGAUUUAUUUUACCCAUGUGUCAAAUAAAGCAUAUAUUUAAUAA